rnacentral:rRNA from 1 species
UUUUAUAUUGUGAAACUGCGAAUGGCUCAUUAAAUCAGUUAUGAUCUACGUGACAAAUUCUUUACUACUUGGAUAACCGUGGUAAUUCUAGAGCUAAUACAUGCAAAAAAGCCCUGACUUACGAAGGGGUGCACUUAUUAGAUAAAACCAACGCGGGGUAAAACCUGUUUCUUGGUGAAUCAUAAUAAUUAAGCGGAUCGCAUAGCCUUGUGCUGGCGACGGUCCACUCGAUUUUCUGCCCUAUCAUGGUUGAGAUUGUAAGAUAGAGGCUUACAAUGCCUACAACGGGUAACGGGGAAUUAGGGUUCGAUUCCGGAGAGGGAGCCUGAGAAACGGCUACCACAUCCAAGGAAGGCAGCAGGCGCGCAAAUUACCCAAUCCCGACACGGGGAGGUAGUGACAAUACAUAACAAUGCAGGGCCUUUAAGGUCUUGCAAUUGGAAUGAGUACAAUUUAAAUCCCUUAACGAGGAUCAAUUGGAGGGCAAGUCUGGUGCCAGCAGCCGCGGUAAUUCCAGCUCCAAUAGCGUAUAUUAAAGUUGUUGCAGUUAAAACGUCCGUAGUCAAACUUUAGUCUUACUGGCGUAGUGGCCUGGUCUUCAUUGACCAAGCUCAUUGCUGCCGGAGACUCCAUGUUCAUUAGGGGAAAAUCUCUAGGGGUUUUUUUCUUAUUUGAACAAUUACCAUGAGCAAAUCAGAGUGUUUAAAGCAGGCUUUUAAGCUUGAAUGUGUUAGCAUGGAAUAAUGAAAUAUGACUUUAGUCCUAUUUUCGUUGGUUUAGGUACUUCAGUAAUGAUGAAUAGAAACGGUUAGGGGCAUUUGUAUUUGGUCGCUAGAGGUGAAAUUCUUGGAUUGACCGAAGACAAACUACUGCGAAAGCAUUUGACCCGGGACGUUUUCAUUGAUCAAGGUCUAAAGUUAAGGGAUCGAAGACGAUUAGAUACCGUCGUAGUCUUAACCACAAACUAUGCCGACUAGAGAUUGGGCGUGUUUAUUAUGACUCGCUCAGCAUCUUAGCGAAAGUAAAGUUUUUGGGUUCUGGGGGGAGUAUGGGACGCAAGGCUGAAACUUAAAGGAA